GGCAAGGGACUUCCUGUAAGAAUGCACCACCCAGCUGGGCAUGGUGGCUCACGCCUGUAAUGCCAGCAUGGGAGGCUGAGGUGGGUGGAUCAUGAGGUCAGGAGUUCGAGACCAUCAUUGCCAAUAUGGUUAAACCCCAUCUCUACUAAAAAUACAAAAAUUAGCUGGGUGUGGUGGUGCACCUGUAAUCCCAGCUACUUGGGAGGCUGAGGCAGAAGAAUCGCUUGAACCUGGGAGGCGGAGGUUGCAGUGUGCCGAUUUGCACCACUGCACUCCAGUCUGGGCGACAAAGCGAGACUCUGUCUCAAAAAAACAAAAAACAAAAAAGAGAAUGCACCUUCCAAUAUAUGGAAUGACUAUUAAAAAAAAGAACAAUGUAUAAUCAAAGUCCUCAGCCGCAUUGUAGAACAUUUGGGAUUCCUCACUCCAACUAACUGCUGUCACCUUCACCAUUCCAGGUUUUAAAUCUUAAGCCAAAAAAAAAAAAAAUGCCAAUCUUAUCUUAUUUUCUGCAUAAGUUAGGUUUUUGUCAAGAAAGAUUAUAAUGUAAGUCACCGUACACCUAGAAGUAUUUGCGGUAGGGUGGACAACACAGAGGCCGGACUCCUCUUAUUCCUGCCUGCUGAUCCACAUCUGCUGGAAGGGGGACAGCGAGGCCAAGAUGGAGCCACUGAUCCAUACAGAAUAUUUGUACUCAAGAGGAGCAAUGAUGUUGAUCUUCAUGUUGGGAGCCAUGGUAGUGAUCUCCUCCUCCAUCCUGUCAGCAAUGCCAGGGUACAUGGUGGUGUCACUGGACAGCACUGGGUUGGUAUACAGGUCUUUGCAGAUGUCCAUGUCACAUUUCAUGAUGGAGUUGAAGGUAGUUUUGUGGAUGCCACAGGAUUCCAUGCCCAGGAAGGAAGGCUGGAAGAGUGCUAUGGGACAGCAGGGACCACUCGUUGCCAAUGAUGAUGACCUGGCCAUCAGGCAGCUGGAAUCUCUUCUUCAGGGAGAAGCUGGAGGCCACGUGCAGGGACAGCAGAACCUGGAUGUCUAUGUACAUGGAUGCGGUGUUGAAGUGCUACCAGCCCAUCCAUCAUCCUCCUGUGAUAUCCAUCCUGGUACAUUCUUGAAGAUGCCCAUUGCCUGAGCCAGAAUAUGUGUGUGAUAUUUUAGAACUCCUCAACCUUCAAGUAAAUGGCAGUAGACAUUGUUGGAGGAGUGGGCGUUACUGGACUUUCUUUGGGAAAACCUGUACAGAGACAUGUUGCUGGAGAACUUUAGAAACUUAACCUUGGUGGAGCAGGCUGGCCUCAUUCCUUCUUCAUUUUUGAUGCAGCAAAUAGUUGUUCUUGAGCAUGUCUUGUGUUCCAAGAUUUGCCAUAAUAAUGGCAAGUUAGUGGUGAACACAAAAUGGAUGGUCCCUGUCCUUGUGAGGCAGUCUAGUGACUUCCCAGGAAAGUAAAAAUCUGUUCAUUGCACGGAUUUCAUUUUCUCUGUCAUGGUUUUCAAGGAUUAGUUCUAUAUGGGGUAGUGAGUGAGGGUAUUUGCUUUUGAGUCCCUGUGAAAAUUUUCUGCUCUUAUUAUUUUGCUGUUUCUAAAAUUGGACUUGUCUAUCUUCAGAACGCUUUAAACCCAAAGUGUUAGAAUCCUUUUUGUGCAAAGUUCUUGUCUCCUACUCAUGACUCCAACAUCCUGUGUCUAGUCCCAUGAGCAGGGUAUCAGCUCUGCAAAUGUAGUAUGAUUAAGAAGGUGUAGUGCAAAAAGGUGAGGUCAGAGAAGAGAGGAAUCCUUCAAGUCACCUGUACAGGUGAGCCCCAGGCAGAAAAGUGUCAUUGUGUGGGACAGCCUUGUCUAGUGAGAAGCCAGUGGAGAAAGAUAACAGACAAAUAAAUGGGAAGAAUUAAAAUAUGAAGAAAUAAUAGGUAAAACUUUCCAAAUUUGAUGAAAGGCAUGAAUCUCUAAAUCCAAGCUCAGCAAACUUCAAGUAAGAGAAACUCAGAGAGGCCCACAGUGAGUCACAUUAUCAUCAAAAUGUCAAAUAGCAAAGACAAAGAGUGAUGAAAGAAGUAAUUCCUUACAUAAAGGAAUUCUCUAUAGUGAAAAAUUUGGGGAGCUGAAAGCCUGAGGGUUGUGACCAACUCAGCAUUCCAUUGGAGGCUAUAUGAUCAAACAGCAAACUGUUUAUCAUAUAUGCAGCAUGUGGGCAAACUCACAUCUGCGCCUGCCACCAGAAGUUAUGCCUAGGGCAAUCACUCCCUGGUGCUGUGCUCCUUGAGGUUAUCUACUGGAAUAUCUGGAGCCUACUGUUCAAAGAAAGCAGUCAUGCAGGCCUGCACUAAAUCAAGCAGCUGACUGACAAUCACCCCCUCCUCCCUAUUUCCUUUACUCAAUAAAUAUGAAGGGCUCUAGAAGCUCAGGGCCCUUGUUCACUAGAAGCAAGGAGCCCCCAACCCCUUCUUUUAAAACAGAUAUUUUUGUUUUUAUCUUUAUUUCUGUGUUCGUUCUCCUUUGUUCAGUCCACCAGGGUCUGCGGCAAAGUGACAUCAUGAACAGGGACUUCAAGGACAUGAAUGAAGAAGGUCUGCUGGAGCAGAGGAAGUGAAGCUAACAAGAUGAAUGAGUACCCUGGGACAAAUCUGCCAGCAGGGAGUAUAAGGUCAGUGUUCUAAAGAAGUACUGGGAAUGGGAAGUUUCUGAAUCAGGGUAACAUGGGGCAGAAUUUGUCUGUUGAAGAAAAACAUUAUGUGCAAUUGCUUAAAGUUCUGUUGAAACAGUCUGGAGCUCAAGUUAAUUCACAGGCAUUAACUAGGCUUCUGCAGGAGGUUAUUACACAUAACCCAUGGUUUCUGCAGGCAGGCACUCUCAAUGUAGAAAAUUGGGACAAAAUAGAAAAGGGAUUGAAACGGACUCAUCAAAAAGGUUUCAAAGUAGACCCUACUGUUUUUUCUGCUUGCGUUUUUGUUCACACGGUCCUACUGCCAUUGUCUUCUUAUUCUGUCAGACAUCAGGAGUCAGGUUCUGAGUCUCAAGAAUUAAAAACAUCAUUUGUUUCUCCAACAGUGCCUAUUGAAAAUAAUGAGCAGGAGAAAGGGGAGGAGAAUUGGCUGUUUGCUAAGCAGGAAAUAGGAGAGGAGAAUUGGCCUCUGCCACCCCAUCCAGUAACAGAAGUAG
ensembl:lncRNA